GUGCCAGCAGCCGCGGUAAGACGAACCGUGCGAACGUUGUUCGGAUUCACUGGGCUUAAAGGGCGCGUAGGCGGGCCGGCGAGUCGGGGGUGAAACCGUUCGGCCCAACCGGACGAGGGCCCCCGAUACCGCCGGCCUCGAGGGGGGUAGGGGCGUGCGGAACUUCCGGUGGAGCGGUGAAAUGCGUAGAUAUCGGAAGGAACGCCGGUGGCGAAAGCGGCGCGCUGGACCCCGCCUGACGCUGAGGCGCGAAAGCCAGGGGAGCGAACGGGAUUAGAUACCCCGGUAGUCC
rnacentral:rRNA from 1 species